CGCGUACCACCAGGCCCUCCAGACUACCGAGCCCUCUUCCUAGAGCAGUCCCUGCGGGAGUGGGGGGGUGGGGCGCUGGGGCGCCCCUUCUCCCUCCAUUACUCCCCACAGAGCCUGCCCAACGGCCACCCGGAAGUGCAAGCAUUUCGGAGGUCCAGAGCGUCGGUUUUGGGUACGCUGUUACUCUUUCAUUCACCCAACUGACAAUCCUCGGGUGCUUUGAUAGGGAGAUGAUCGAGGCGCAGCCUGUGUCCGCAUACAGGACUAUAGGACUGGGUGACAGGUGCCGUGCUUCACGGUACGGGAUGCUGUACCUCCAAGGAGCCGAAGGGAUGGCAGGAAGCGCUCCUGGAAGGGCAACAACCCUGGGCCCCGCAGUGCCCGCCACGUGGGCUCGCGAGUAUUUGGUGGAUGGGGCCUGCUGCUGGCAGAGCGUCGCGAGUAGAAGGGGGAUUCCGCGCGGAAGAAAGGCGGCCGGCCUGAAACCGUCUGCGCGUGCAGGAUCUUGAGUGCCCGGAGCUGAAGCUGGAAGCCAGCAAAUCCUGGUGGAACUUUCGCCACACAUCAGAUCUGCAGCAAAUCCAAAGCUGAAUAAGGUACUAAUGACUCACAAAUAGAGCAUCCUAAUGGCAGUAGUAUCCCUUUGGCCUUUCUAUGCCCUGUGCCUUGUGGUGGUUGCUUCCUGUCUGGUCCUGUUUUCACUGGUCAGCUUCAUGUUGUGUACAUCUUAUCUUCUCUGCUUACCCCGAGACCCACUCAAAGUUAGGUGCUCCAUACAUCUUCGAAUGAAUGUUUCUCCUUGAGUAUUAUACUAGUAGUCCCUCAGAGAGCCAGUUCCUCAACCCAAGGUUUCGGCCAAAGUUACUGAGCUCAUAUCAAACUCAUUGCACCUAUCCUAGCCAAUUAGUGGAGAACAUUCCUUCAUAUGUGAUAUAUGGCUUUGCAAGCAUGAAGGGUGCUCAGAGCAUUGUCUCGAGCCUUUGCACUGCCCUCAUACUUAACUAUUUGCUUUAUUUCGUGUUUAUUCAACAAAUAUUUAUUUGAACGUUCACUGUGGGCCUGUUUUAGGUGCUAGAUAAACAAGAUAGUCUUGCCCUCGUGGAACAAACAUUCCAUUAUGUACCUGAGGCGUAGGUCUGGAUGAAGAGAAAGUGAAAUUCACUAAACUACUCAUCACUGCAUUGAACACAAAACACUCCCCCCCACACACCUUGUGAC
ensembl:lncRNA